GACGAACGCUGGCGGCGUGCCUAAUACAUGCAAGUUGAGCGAUGAAGAUUGGUGCUUGCACCAAUUUGAAGAGCAGCGAACGGGUGAGUAACGCGUGGGGAAUCUGCCUUUGAGCGGGGGACAACAUUUGGAAACGAAUGCUAAUACCGCAUAACAACCUUAAACAUAAGUUUUAAGUUUGAAAGAUGCAAUUGCAUCACUCAAAGAUGAUCCCGCGUUGUAUUAGCUAGUUGGUGAGGUAAAAGCUCACCAAGGCGAUGAUACAUAGCCGACCUGAGAGGGUGAUCGGCCACAUUGGGACUGAGACACGGCCCAAACUCCUACGGGAGGCAGCAGUAGGGAAUCUUCGGCAAUGGACGAAAGUCUGACCGAGCAACGCCGCGUGAGUGAAGAAGGUUUUCGGAUCGUAAAACUCUGUUGGUAGAGAAGAACGUUGGUGAGAGUGGAAAGCUCAUCAAGUGACGGUAACUACCCAGAAAGGGACGGCUAACUACGUG
rnacentral:rRNA from 1 species